rnacentral:rRNA from 1 species
UACGUAGGUGGCAAGCGAUACUCGGAAUCACUAGGCGUAAAGCGCAGGUAGGCGGUUCGGUAAGUCUUUUGUGAAAGCUCCCGGCUCAACUGGGAGAGGCCAAGGGAAACUACCGGACUAGAGUGUGGUAGGGGAUACUGGAAUUCCUGGUGUAGCGGUGAAAUGCGUAGAUAUCAGGAGGAAUACCUAUGGCGAAAGCAGGUAUCUGGGCCAUCACUGACGCUGAGCUGCGAAGGCUAGGGGAGCAAACAGG